GUCGAGCGGACCGACGGGAGCUUGCUCCCUUAGGUCAGCGGCGGCACUUAGAGUAACACGUGGGUAACCUGCCUGUAAGACUGGGACCUCAUAAGAAAACCGGGGCUAAUACCGGAUGCUUGAUUGAACCGCAUGGUUCAAUCAUAAAAGGCGGCUUCGGCUGCCGUUUAUACAAGGACCCGCGGCGCAUUAGCUAGUUGGUGAGGUAACGGCUCACCAAGGCGACGAUGCGUAGCCGACCUGAGAGGGUGAUCGGCCACACUGGGACUGAGACACGGCCCAGACUCCUACGGGAGGCAGCAGUAGGGAAUCUUCCGCAAUGGACGAAAGUCUGACGGAGCAACGCCGCGUGAGUGAUGAAGGUUUUCGGAUCGUAAAGCUCUGUUGUUAGGGAAGAACAAGUACCGUUCGAAUAGGGCGGUACCUUGACGUUUUCUAACCAGAAAGCCACGGCUAACUACGUGCCAGCAGCCGCGGUAAUACGUAGGUGGCAAGCGUUGUCCGGACUUAUUGGGCGUAGAGCGCGCGCAGGCGGUUUCUUAAGUCUGAUGUGAAAGCCCCCGGCUCAACC
rnacentral:rRNA from 1 species